CGUUGUACACACCGCCCGUCACACCACGAAAGUCGGCAAUACCCGAAGCCGGUGAGCUAACCCCUCGGGGAGGCAGCCGUCGAAGGUAGGGCUGAUGAGUUGGGGUG
rnacentral:rRNA from 1 species